rfam:Polaromonas sp. JS666, complete genome.
CCACGUCUGGAACGACGUGACCUCGACCGUACGUGCGUCUGGAGUAAUCCGGGGGUGCGGAGCUACGGUUAAACAACCCGUGCGCAAGCACACAAGGCUGACGUGAGUCAGUCCCAAUCCCACGAACAAGACGCGGGAAGGUUG